UACGGAGGGGGCUAGCGUUGUUCGGAAUCACUGGGCGUAAAGCGCACGUAGGCGGCCUGGAAAGUUGGGAGUGAAAUCCCGGGGCUCAACUCCGGAAUUGCUCUCAAAACUUCUAGGCUAGAGACUUGGAGAGGUGGGCGGAAUUCCGAGUGUAGAGGUGAAAUUCGUAGAUAUUCGGAAGAACACCAGAGGCGAAGGCGGCUUUCUGGACCAACACUGACGCUGAGGCGCGAAAGCGUGGGGAGCAAACAGG
rnacentral:rRNA from 1 species